AAUUAAAAUUUUUAUGGUUUAAAUAAUUUAUUUUAAAUUUAUUUUACAUAUAAAUUUUAGUGUAUAAUUUUAUUUAUUUUGAUAAUAUUUAAAUUUAUUAAAUAGUAAUUAAUAUUAAAAAUUUAAGAAAUUAAGAUUUAGUAAUAUAAAAAUUAAAAACUAAUUUUGUGCCAGCAGUUGCGGUUAAACAAAUUUUAAAAUAAAUUUUUUUAGUGAUUAAUAAUUAAUUUUAAUUAUAAUAAUUUAAAACUUAAAUUAUUAGGUGAAAUUUUAAUUUAAGAUAAUUUUAUUUAUAAUUUUAUUAAGAAAUUAAUAAAUUUUAUGAAAAACUAGGAUUAGAUACCCUAUUAUUAAAAAUUUAAAUUUAAUAUACUAAAAUAGUAAUUAAUUUUUUUAUUGAAACUUAAAUAAGUUGGCGGUAUUUUAGUUCAUUUAGAGGAAUCUGUUAAGUAAUUGAUAAUCCACGAUUAAAUUUACUUAAUUUUUAAAAUUUGUAUAUCGUUGUUAUAAAAAUAUUUUUUAAGGAUAAUAAUAUUUAAAAAUUUUUAAUAAAAUUUAAAUCAGAUCAAGAUGCAGUUUAUAAUUAAGAUUAUAAUGGAUUACAAUAAAUUUAUUUAAAUGAAUAUAAAUUUUUAAUAAUUUAUUGAAAGUGGAUUUAAAUGUAAUUUUAUUUAGUUUUUUAAAAUGAUUUAAAAUUAAAAUAUGUACAUAUUGCCCGUCACUUUCAUAAAUAAAUUGAAAUAAGUCGUAACAAAGUAGAGAUACUGGAAAGUGUUUCUAGAAAGAUU
rnacentral:ncRNA from 1 species